CCAUAUAUCCCACAAAAACACCAAGAGAGUUGUUCAAGUAUCCGACUCCAGAACAACGAGUGGAGUAGCCCAUAGGCCCCAUACAGUUGCAUAUAGGAUUGCUAGGCUUUCAUUACUCAAUGGGGACAUUGAUACACUGAACUCCUCUUAUUAAGAUAUUGGAAAAUAUAAAUUAAUCUGUUUCCAACAAGCCUUCAAAUUG
rnacentral:lncRNA from 1 species